CUUACAGCCACUCUCCAUACCCUUCACUCUCUACGACGACCACCUUCAAAAACCCUUCUGACCCAAAGCUGGCCGCCGUAAAUUGGUGGCCAUUUUUACUCCGAUCGCCUCCGACCGACCGCCAACAAUCCUAGAUGACCAAUAACUUCACUGUAAAGGCCCUAUAUGUGUUACCCUUUCUUUCCACUCUCGAUCGAGACCCUAAAACCGACCAAACCGCAGUGAAAACUCAGGACCGAGAACUCCAUUCGCCACUAACGAUGGCGAGCUAACCCAAAAAAUGAGCCUAACCCGACCCUAAACUCUCCUAUCUUCACUGUUAUGGAACCCCAAAACACUACGGCUACAUGCAAGGACCCCGACCGAAGCCAAACGGCCACCGCUACCCUCUAUCGCUCGAGUCUCUCCACCCCGAUGGCUUCAACUCCGGCAGUCGACUCCUCGGCUAGAUGUGGAUGGGGAACCGAGCUGCUUGGUGUGUGCUCGUGGGACAGCAUCGGCAUGAUCGCGGUAUGGGACUGCUGGUAGUGAUUGACCAACAUAAGCAUGGGUAAAUGCACAGCAUUGGGAACAAGGUAUGGGCAGCUCUUUGGCCAAGGUGAAGGCAUGGGCAUGGUGGGUUAGUGCUUCACGUGGGGCAUGAGUGAGUGGAUGUUUUUUAAUUCAAAUAUGGUGCUCACACUACUCUUGUUGAAGCUGCUGCGAAUUUUCAUGGGGCCGGUAAGCUUGUUGUGGGUGAUGGUAAAGGCUUAUUUAUUAAACAUGUUGGUCAAUCUUCAUUAGUCACUACGUCACGUGCUUUGCAAUUAAAUUAUUUACUUCAUGUUUGGAAUAUUACUAAGAAUCUUCUUUCGGUGUCUAAGCUUGUUAGAGACAAUGGUGUUUUCUUGGAAUUUCAUGUUCAGAAGUGUGUGGUUCGUGAUGAAGAUUAUGGGGCUGUUUUGUUUGAGGGCCGUGAAGAUGAUGGUAUAUAUGAUCUCAGCUCAAAUUUAGUCUCUUUUGAUGUUUGGAGGAUUUUCACGCUAGUUUGGCCAAUGCAUCUAGUAUUGUUUGUGAUGUUUUUUAUAGACUUAAGGUACCCUUCUCAUGAUGUGCCGAUGAAGGUGAGUAAGGAGUGUAAUAUUGCUCUUCGAGAUGAGAUGAAUAAAAUGUUAUGUGUUGCUUGUCAAAUGGGAAAGAAUCAUUGCUUACCUUUUAGAGAGUCUCAA